UACGUAGGGGGCAAGCGUUGUUCGGAUUCAUUGGGCGUAAAGGGUGCGUAGGCGGCGCGGUAAGUCGGGUGUGAAAUCUCGGAGCUUAACUCCGAAAUGGCAUUGAAUACUAUCUGGCUAGAGGGUCGGAGGGGAGACUGGAAUUCUCGGUGUAGCAGUGAAAUGCGUAGAUAUCGAGAGGAACACCAGUGGCGAAGGCGAGUCUCUGGACGACUCCUGACACUGAGGCACGAAAGCCAGGGGAGCAAACAGG
rnacentral:rRNA from 1 species